UACGGGGGGGGCAAGCGUUGUUCGGAAUUACUGGGCGUAAAGGGCUCGUAGGCGGCCAACUAAGUCGGACGUGAAAUCCCUCAGCUUAACUGGGGAACUGCGUCCGAUACUGGAUGGCUUGAGUUCGGGAGAGGGAUGCGGAAUUCCAGGUGUAGCGGUGAAAUGCGUAGAUAUCUGGAGGAACACCGGUGGCGAAGGCGGCAUCCUGGACCGAUACUGACGCUGAGGAGCGAAAGCCAGGGGAGCAAACGGG
rnacentral:rRNA from 1 species